GGGUAACGGCCUACCAAGUCGACGAUCCAUAGCCGGACUGAGAGGAUGACCGGCCACACUGGGACUGAGAUACGGCCCAGACUCCUACGGGAGGCAGCAGUUAGGAAUAUUGGGCAAUGGAGGAAACUCUGACCCAGCAACGCCGCGUGAAGGAAGAAGGUUUUCGGACUGUAAACUUCUGAUCUAAGGGAAAAGAAAGUGAUGGUACCUUAGGAGAAAGCCACGGCUAACUAC
rnacentral:rRNA from 1 species